GGGGUUGUAGCUCAGUGGUAGAGCACUUGCCUAGCAUGUGUGAGGCCCUGGGUUCGAUCCCCAGCACCA
rnacentral:tRNA from 1 species